AUACCAGCACCCCGAGUGGUCGGGACGAUUAUUGGGCCUAAAGCAUCCGUAGCCGGUACUGCAAGUCUCCCGUUAAAUCCACCUGCUCAACAGUUGGGCUGCGGGGGAUACUACAGCGCUAGGAGGCGGGAGAGGCAAGCGGUACUUAAUGGGUAGGGGUAAAAUCCACUGAUCCAUUGAAGACCACCAGUGGCGAAGGCGGCUUGCCAGAACGCGCUCGACGGUGAGGGAUGAAAGCUGGGGGAGCAAACCGGAUUAGAUACCCGGGUAGUCCCAGCUGUAAACGAUGCAGACUCGGUGAUGGGCUGGCCUUGUGCCAACCCAGUGCCGCAGGGAAGCCGUUAAGUCUGCCGCCUGGGGAGUACGGUCGCAAGACUGAAACUUAAAUGAAUUGGCGGG
rnacentral:rRNA from 1 species